CGCUGGCGGUAUGCUUUACACAUGCAAGUCGAACGGAGUUCUUAGGAACUUAGUGGCGGACGGGUGAGUAACGCGUGAGAAUUUGGCUUCAGGUCGGGGACAACAGUUGGAAACGACUGCUAAUACCGGAUAUGCCGGAAGGUGAAAGGCUUGCUGCCUGAAGAUAAGCUCGCGUCUGAUUAGCUAGUUGGUAGUGUAAGGGACUACCAAGGCGACGAUCAGUAGCUGGUCUGAGAGGAUGAUCAGCCACACUGGGACUGAGACACGGCCCAGACUCCUACGGGAGGCAGCAGUGGGGAAUUUUCCGCAAUGGGCGAAAGCCUGACGGAGCAAUACCGCGUGAGGGAGGAAGGCUCUUGGGUCGUAAACCUCUUUUCUCAAGGAAGAAGAAAGUGACGGUACUUGAGGAAUAAGCAUCGGCUAACUCCGUGCCAGCAGCCGCGGUAAUACGGAGGAUGCAAGCGUUAUCCGGAAUGAUUGGGCGUAAAGGGUCCGCAGGUGGUACUGUAAGUCUGCUGUUAAAGAGUCUGGCUCAACCAGAUAAAAGCAGUGGAAACUACAGAACUAGAGUGCGUUCGGGGCAGAAGGAAUUCCUGGUGUAGCGGUGAAAUGCGUAGAUAUCAGGAAGAACACCGGUGGCGAAAGCGUUCUGCUAGGCCGCAACUGACACUGAGGGACGAAAGCUAGGGGAGCGAAUGGGAUUAGAUACCCCAGUAGUCCUAGCCGUAAACGAUGGAUACUAGGCGUGGCUUGUAUCGACCCGAGCCGUGCCGGAGCUAACGCGUUAAGUAUCCCGCCUGGGGGAGUACGCAUGCAAGUG
rnacentral:rRNA from 1 species